AGCUCCAAUAGCGUAUAUUUAAGUUGUUGCAGUUAAAAAGCUCGUAGUUGGAUUUCUGGUGGGAGGGAUCGGUCCUGCAUUCUUUGUAGGAACUUGUAUCCUCUCCGGCCAUCCUUGGGUGGAUCUUGUCUGGCAUUAAGUUGUCAGGCAGGGGAUGCCCAUCGUUUACUGUGAAAAAAUUAGAGUGUUCAAAGCAGGCUUAUGCCAUUGAAUAUAUUAGCAUGGAAUAAUAAGAUAGGGCCCUGGUACUAUUUUGUUGGUUUGCGUACCGAGGUAAUGAUUAAUAGGGACAGUUGGGGGUAUUUGUAUUCAGUAUUCAGUGGUGAAAUACUUAGACCUACGGAAGACAAACUACUGCGAAAGCAUUUACCAAGGAUGUUUUCA
rnacentral:rRNA from 1 species